rnacentral:rRNA from 1 species
CCUACGGGAGGCUGCAGUGGGGGAUAUUGGGCAAUGGGGGAAACCCUGAUCCAGCGACGCCGCGUGAGUGAAGAAGUCUUUCGGGAUGUAAAGCUCUAUCAGCAGGGAAGAAAGAAAUGACGGUACCUGACUAAGAAGCCCCGGCUAACUACGUGCCAGCAGCCGCGGUAAUACGAGGGGGGCAAGCGUUAUACGGAAUUACUGGGUGUAAAGGGAGCGUAGACGGUAAUGCAAGUCUGGAGUGAAAGGCCGGGGCCCAACCCCCGGACUGCUCUGGAAACUGUGGAACUGGAGUGCAGGAGAGGCAGGCAGAAUUCCUCGUGUAGCGGUGAAAUGCGUAGAGAUUAGGAGGAACACCGGAGGCGAAGGCGGCCUGCUGGACUGUAACUGACGUUGAGGCUCGAAAGCGUGGGGAGCAAACAGGAUUAGAUACCCUGGUAGUC